UUAUACAACUUUCAACAACGGAUCUCUUGGCUCUCGCAUCGAUGAAGAACGCAGCGAAAUGCGAUAAGUAAUGUGAAUUGCAGAAUUCAGUGAAUCAUCGAAUCUUUGAACGCACCUUGCGCUCCUUGGUAUUCCGAGGAGCAUGCCUGUU
rnacentral:rRNA from 2 species